ACGGAAGGCAGCAGUGGGGAAUAUUGCACAAUGGGGGAAACCCUGAUGCAGCGACGCCGCGUGAGUGAAGAAGUAUUUCGGUAUGUAAAGCUCUAUCAGCAGGAAAGAAAAUGACGGUACCUGACUAAGAAGCCCCGGCUAACUACGUGCCAGCAGCCGCGGUAAUACGUAGGGGGCAAGCGUUAUCCGGAUUUACUGGGUGUAAAGGGAGCGUAGGCGGCGAUGCAAGUCAGAUGUGAAAGCCCGGGGCUCAACCCCGGGACUGCAUUUGAAACUGUGUUGCUAGAGUAUCGGAGAGGUGAGUGGAAUUCCUAGUGUAGCGGUGAAAUGCGUAGAUAUUAGGAAGAACACCGGUGGCGAAGGCGGCUCACUGGACGAUAACUGACGCUGAGGCUCGAAAGCGUGGGGAGCAAACAGGAUUAGAUACCCUGGUA
rnacentral:rRNA from 1 species